rnacentral:lncRNA from 1 species
GUGCGCGGCGAGGACUCAGCGAGGGACAGGUAGCAGCAAGGCCAGCUUUAACUCGAAGGGGCCCGGCCCAAGCUGCCAGGUGUCUGGGUCCCCGAUCAGGGUCUGUAUCAGCUCCCAUUGCUGGCACUGCCAAUCAUCACACAGCAGAGGGCUUAAAAGGACAGUUUAUUCCCUCAUGGUUCUGGGGCCAGGAGCCUGAGGUCAAGCGUGGGGAGGCAGUGGCUCUGGGGAUCCGCCCUGCACCUCCCUCCUGUCACAGUCCUGCCCUUCUCAGCCCAUGGACGCGCCCUCCACCUCUGCUGGUCUCCCUCCAGGACAUGCCACUGGACUCAGGGCCCACGCAGGCAACCUGGGGUGACCUUAUCUUGAAUCUUGAGAUCCUUAACUCGAUCACAUCUGCAAAGGCCUUCCCGAGGUUCCAGGCGGACGCGUCCCUUCCCGAGGUUCCAGGCGGACGCGUCCCUUCCCGAGGUUCUAGGUGGACGUGUCUUUUGAGAGGGCCUCAGGUUAACCCACUACUGUGUCUGAAUCUGUCCCUUCCCCAAGCAGCAGCUCUGUGUCCCGGCAUGGCCACUGUGGGGCAGAGACACAGCAGGUCCCACAUCUCUGUGCCCUGCAGACCCGUCAGCCCUGGGGAUGCUGGUCUGGGACGGACCCCUAGAUAUCACACAGCCGAGAGGUAGGUCAGCGCUUUAAGAUGCUGAUACCGCUGCUUCAGCUCCUGGAGCAGAAUUCUCAGGGUGGAUUUCCAGCAACGCCUCCUGGGAGGGUCAGCAGGGGCUGGGGUCCGUGGAGUGGUCUCCGGGAGGUUUGCCUGUGUCAGGCCUGUGCUGCUUCUGGCGGAGGCGCUUGUCCAGCCUCAUCCAGCCUGGUGUCUCCGGUGCCACGCGCUAACACCUUCAGUGCACGCUCGGGAACGCGCCUGGAAGGCCCUGCCCUGCCCCAGGCUCCAGCCAGACGCUGCCAGCACCCGGGCCCUAGGCUAUGCCAGUCCCACAGGACUUGGGUGAAAGUGGGUCCCAGAGGCAGGGCAGAGGGGAGCUCCUGUCUGGGGGCGCAUGCUGGGCACCUGAUCUAUACCCAGAAGCCCAUAGGGAGCAGGGUCCACAGGGCUGGCGACGCCACUCCCAGGAAGCCUUUGUGGGCUCAGACACAGGACCCAACAGCCCUGCAACAGUGCCUGGAGCCAGACGUUCACCCCAGAUCCUUCUGUGGGGUGAGACUGCAGGUCAGGCCGAGGCGUGUCAGCCAGGGUGGUGUGACUGCACCUCCAGAGCUAGCAGCAACGGCCAGGCUCAGAUUAAUGUUCAGAAACUCUGGCACCUCCAGAGCCAGCAGCAAUGGCCAGGCUCAGAUAGAACAUUUAGAAAGAACUCUGGCGGGCAACCGUGGGUGGCAGGGUCACAGCUAAUUCACAAUUUACAGCCAAGACUGUCCCUGAUCCAGUCUAGAGAGAACCUGUUAAGGAAAAAUUAUCCUGGUGCUUAUCAUAAUGGCAAGGAAGACUUCAUUGUGGACUCCCGCAGUGAGGGAGAGACGGGCUCCAUGUUGGGUGCAGCAGGACAAGGGGGGUUCACAGCCGAGGAGUGAGGGGGUCCGUGGCUGGAAAAUCACCAGGAGGGUGCGGCAGGGCCGGGGCAUCCUGCUGAAGGCGUCGAGGACUGAGGUCUGAUCUGCUCCUGGAGCUCAGACAUCGGGGUGGGAUUCUCUCUGACCUGACUCUGGGUUCCUGCUCCGUUGGA